rnacentral:rRNA from 1 species
UACGGGGGAGCAAGCGUUGUUCGGAUUUACUGGCGUAAAGGGCGCGUAGGCGGCCACCGCAAAUCGGUUGUGAAAUCUCCGGGCUUAACCCGGAAAGGUCAACCGAUACUGCGGGGCUAGAGUGCAGAAGGGGCAACUGGAAUUCUCGGUGUAGCGGUGAAAUGCGUAGAUAUCGAGAGGAACACCUGCGGCGAAGGCGGGUUGCUGGGCUGACACUGACGCUGGAGGCGCGAAAGCUAGGGGAGCGAACGGG